UUCGGAACCGGCAUAUGGCGGGCAGAGUGAAGCACCCUCUGUCUGCACUCCGCAGGUUCCCACAUAAACACGGAGGUCUCUGUCUGACUCAGGACAGCCACUGAGCUGGAUCGUUCCCUCCAGACAGC
rnacentral:snoRNA from 12 species